UGCUCCCCGCUGGACCCAAAGUGGAGGCUCCCCAUCCCUCCCGCGUACGUGGAAUAAAGGUUCCGCACACCUUUCCCGCAGCCGGAGCCCUUUCAAAGGGGCAACCUUGAGAGAGCAACGUGUGGUAUGGGUGGUACACGUGACUGAGCCGUGCUAAGGCCUCUUCCUAAACUUUAGGAUCCUGGCGGGUGAGUGCGGAUAUUUACUGCCCCUCUGGCCAAGGAACACAAGCCUCCUAAGAACAUUCAGUGCUCCUGGUGCUGGGAUUAUGAAGGCAAAGGAGAUACACUCCUGCCAUCCGUUUGCAUAUUCCAGUCAAGAGAGGAAAAUGGGUUCAUAAAGAGAUGAUGAGAAUCAUACGCAUUAAGCAUGAAACCAAAGGAAACAUUUUAAAAUAUCAGACAUACUCUAGGAAGUUUGUUCACAUCAAGUUUUGUGUUCAGUGUGUCCCUUUAUCCAUCCUUUACAUGAGGCCCACCGACAGCUCCCAGUUCAAAAGUAGCACAAAG